AAAAAAAUCUCUAUGAUGGAAUUUGACGUUUCAAAGGUUCUUGAAGAGCUAAGACUCACUAUGGAUCAGUUCAUUGAUUUGUGUAUUCUCUCUGGAUGUGAUUAUUGUGAUAACAUUAAAGGUCGGGCAAUUCGUGAGGCUUGAGUUUUUUUGAUGCAAGAAGUGAG